rnacentral:lncRNA from 1 species
AUAUAACAAUAAAGGGUAAAUGGGCAGAUAACUCUAUGGUCAUUUUCUGACAUCAGCAUAUGCCUUAUGAUUUAUUUUAGACUGGUUCUGGCUUUAUAAAAAGCUCAACAGUCAAAGGGCUGGCGAGACCGCUGGAAGUUUGCAAAGCAGUAGUAAACCCAAAAGAAGCUGCUAGCAAGAUGCUACACAGCCCAAUGUAACCCAAAUAUCCCAAACAUGCAGCAAUGGUGGUGCAAUCAUCCACCCAAUCAUGAAUUCCUGAAGUCCCUCCAGAUGCCACACAGAAACUUGGGUUUCUGAAUCAUCUAAGUAACAAGAUUCACUGAAUAGAAACUUCAACAUGUUCUUAAGCCUGAAAAUCACUUAAGAUUCAGAGGAAAAUGAAUGUCAUUCAAUUCACCUCUCAAAACCUGUGAAUUAACCUCAAAUGUUAGGGAGUGCAAAACGCAAUUUGAGAAGAUCUAGCCAUCUUCGUUCCAAGCUGGAGAUGAGAAAGGAAGAAGAAGACAAAGAAGAGGCAAAGGAUUUCACCUCUGCAGGUUAAACACACUUAUUUCUUUCUGGAUUCCUUCCAUGGUACAUGAGACUCAAGAGUGCAGGGAGAGUUGAAGGAGAAGUGGAGGGUUUGACUUCCAUCCCUCUAUUUGACCCCUCACUCAGCUACCUGUGAUACAUCCUGUAGAAUAAUGCUUCUCAAAUUAGAAUGGGUUCCCUCCACCAUCCCUUGCAGACCGAUAUUUUUAUAAAGCUCAA